UAGGCAAAAAGUGCAGUGGAACAGGGCAGAAAAUAACACACUAACUUCAGACAACUGUUGCUUAUUCAUGAUGCUAACACAGGGAGUAACUUCACUCCUGGAGUAGCCCCACUGAGACGUGGAAGUGAAGUUAAGGCUCAGGUGCUUCAGCAUUGCUGUAGGUACAGCUCUAGGAAUUUGUUGAAUGCUACUAUUAAAGACUGUCUGGUGCC
rnacentral:lncRNA from 1 species